UACGGAGGAUGCAAGCGUUAUCCGGAUUUAUUGGGUUUAAAGGGUGCGCAGGUGGUUUAAUAAGUCAGUGGUGAAAGUCUGUCGCUUAACGGUAGGAUUGCCAUUGAUACUGUUAGACUUGAAUAUGGAUGAGGUAGGCGGAAUGUGUAGUGUAGCGGUGAAAUGCAUAGAUAUUACACAGAACACCGAUUGCGAAGGCAGCUUACUAAUCCAUCAUUGACGCUGAGGCACGAAAGCGUGGGGAUCAAACAGGAUUA
rnacentral:rRNA from 1 species